rnacentral:misc_RNA from 1 species
CCUAGUAGUUGUAGGCUUUGCCUGCUAUCUCUUACCCAUGUCUUUUGAGUACUUACGUUAUCCUCGGCGGGUCCGCCCGCCGAUUGGACAAUUUAAACCAUUUGCAGUUGCAAUCAGCGUCUGAAAAACUUAAUAGUUA